rnacentral:rRNA from 1 species
CGUGUAGGCGGCCGAUCAAGUCGGAUGUGAAAUCUCUCGGCUCAACCGAGAAACUGCAUCCGAUACUGGUCAGCUAGAGUGCGAGAGGGGUGAGUGGAACUCCAGGUGUAGCGGUGAAAUGCGUAGAUAUCUGGAGGAACGCCGGUGGCGAAAGCGACUCACUGGCUCGCAACUGACGCUGAGGCGCAAAAGCUAGGGGAGCGAACG